rnacentral:rRNA from 1 species
GUGCUUAACACAUGCAAGUCGAACGAAGCACUUUACCGGAUUUCUUCGGAAUGAAAGUUUUGUGACUGAGUGGCGGACGGGUGAGUAACGCGUGGGUAACCUGCCUCAUACGGGGGGAUAACAGUUAGAAAUGACUGCUAAUACCGCAUAAGACCACAGGACCGCAUGGUCCGGUGGUAAAAACUCCGGUGGUAUGAGAUGGACCCGCGUCUGAUUAGCUAGUUGGUAAGGUAACGGCUUACCAAGGCGACGAUCAGUAGCCGACCUGAGAGGGUGACCGGCCACAUUGGGACUGAGACACGGCCCAAACUCCUACGGGAGGCAGCAGUGGGGAAUAUUGCACAAUGGGGGAAACCCUGAUGCAGCGACGCCGCGUGAGCGAUGAUAGUAUUUCGGUAUGUAAAGCUCUAUCAGCAGGGAAGAAUUAGGACGGUACCUGACUAAGAAGCACCGGCUAAAUACGUGCCAGCAGCCGCGGUAAUACGUAUGGUGCAAGCGUUAUCCGGAUUUACUGGGUGUAAAGGGAGCGUAGACGGAGAGGCAAGUCUGUUGUGAAAACCCGGGGCUCAACCCCGUGACUGCAUCGGAAACUGUUUUUCUAGAGUGUCGGAGAGGUAAGUGGAAUUCUUACUGUAGCGGUGAAAUGAGUAGAUAUUAGGAGGAACACCAGCGGCGAAGGCGGCUUACUGGACGAUGAUUGACGUUGAGGCUUGAAAGCGUGGGGAGCAAAAAAGAUUAGAUGCCCUCGUAGUCCUCCCCGUAAUCGACCCCUAUUGGGUGUCGGGAGGGCAAAGCCUUUCGGUGCCGCAGCAAACGCAAUAAGCAGUCCACCUGGGGAGUACGUUCGCAAGAAUGAAACUCAAAGGAAUUGACGGGGACCCGCACAAGCGGUGGAGCAUGUGGUUUAAUUCGAAGCAACGCGAAGAACCUUACCUGCCCUUGACAUCCGGCUGACCGGCGAGUAAUGUCGCCUUUCCUUCGGGACAGCCGAGACAGGUGGUGCAUGGUUGUCGUCAGCUCGUGUCGUGAGAUGUUGGGUUAAGUCCCGCAACGAGCGCAACCCUUAUCUUUAGUAGCCAGCAUUUCGGAUGGGCACUCUAGAGAGACUGCCAGGGAUAACCUGGAGGAAGGUGGGGAUGACGUCAAAUCAUCAUGCCCCUUAUGGGCAGGGCUACACACGUGCUACAAUGGCGUAAACAAAGGGAGGCAAGCCUGCGAGGGUGAGCAAAUCCCAAAAAUAACGUCUCAGUUCGGAUUGUAGUCUGCAACUCGACUACAUGAAGCUGGAAUCGCUAGUAAUCGCGAAUCAGAAUGUCGCGGUGAAUACGUUCCCGGGUCUUGCACA